rnacentral:rRNA from 1 species
AUUGAACGCUGGCGGCAGGCCUAACACAUGCAAGUCGAGCGGAUGGAGGGAGCUUGCUCCUGGAUUCAGCGGCGGACGGGUGAGUAAUGCCUAGGAAUCUGCCUGGUAGUGGGGGAUAACGUCCGGAAACGGGCGCUAAUACCGCAUACGUCCUGAGGGAGAAAGUGGGGGAUCUUCGGACCUCACGCUAUCAGAUGAGCCUAGGUCGGGUUAGCUAGUUGGUGGGGUAAAGGCCUACCAAGGCGACGAUCCGUAACUGGUCUGAGAGGAUGAUCAGUCACACUGGAACUGAGACACGGUCCAGACUCCUACGGGAGGCAGCAGUGGGGAAUAUUGGACAAUGGGCGAAAGCCUGAUCCAGCCAUGCCGCGUGUGUGAAGAAGGUCUUCGGAUUGUAAAGCACUUUAAGUUGGGAGGAAGGGCAGUAAGUUAAUACCUUGCUGUUUUGACGUUACCAACAGAAUAAGCACCGGCUAACUUCGUG